rnacentral:tRNA from 1 species
CCUUUAGCUCAAUUGGUUAGAGCAGAGGACUCAUAAUCCUUUGGUUGUCGGUUCAAGUCCGACAGGG